rnacentral:sRNA from 1 species
CUGACAGCCCUGGAAAUUGAAGUCCUCUAUUUUUCCACAGGACAGGUAUAGCAUGGGCGGCAGCAAUGCAAACUUCCCCACACUGCCCUGCCAAUGUGUCUCAACCCUGUUCUGAAGAGAUCACUUCUGGAGGUGAGUGGGAAGCUUAGUCCUUAUGUCCAUUCAGUCAUUGGCCUUU